rnacentral:lncRNA from 1 species
UUUUGUGUAUGUGUGUGUGUACAACUGUAGAAAGUAAUACUUUGUCUUGUUUUUAAAAUUAGGACAUCCAGUUACUUCUCAACUGCUUCUCUUUGCUGAAGGAAAGUGAGUAAUCUCCAUGGAAGAUACUCAGGAUUUAAACGAACAGUCAGUGAAAAAAACGUGCCCAGAUUCAGAUGUUUCAGAAUCUCAGAAUUCCAGACGGGAAUAAUAGUUGUACUUGAGAAUGCCAGGAAUGAAACCUGAGAAUGGAGGAGCAGCUGGAAUGGUAUUAUAAAUAUAUUAUGCAUAAAUAUAAAUGUUAUCGCUUAUAAAAGCCCACUGUAGCAUU